GAUUCCAUUAAUUUUGUGUAAACAACUUAGCACAAGUAUGAGAUCUAUUCUGUAACUAUUCUCCAUAGAAAUUACACUUAAACUCACUCUUCCGAAGCCAAACUAAUCCAAACUGAAAAGCUGGGACCUUAUUUCUGCCUCAGUUGUUUUGAUUCAGCAAACUGCUCAGUAAAUAUAGGUGAGAGGCAACUGCUCCAUAUGAGUUAAGGCAGAGAUGACUCUCCUCCCACCACCUCUGGGCUUUUAAUGAUCAUGAAUCAUUCCUCCAGCUGGUUAUCAGUAUUUCUGUCAACUGGACAGGAGAAACUCCAGUGUGCAGCAAUGAAAAGGGUCUGAAGCUCAGAGUAUCAACUGAUAUUACUUCCAUGAAGUCCUAUUUAUAUAGAUUGUUUUACUAAAAAGAGGGACUACUGGAGCUCUAGUACUUCUACAGCACUGUGGGCACGAGGGGUUCAGAGCUGUCACAGCCUUCAUUUUCCUUUCCUUGUGCCUCCCUGUGCACAGGCGUUCCUGCCCUAAGCAGCUCAGACAGAAAUAUAAUUUGGACUGAUUCUUUCCUCGCACUGCAACAGCUGAGUGCUCUGGCUGGAUGGCCACACAGCAUUAACUACACUGGCACCAAUUGCCACUGCGUGUAAGAAGAGCCAGAACAGGGAGCAUAUUGUCAAGUUCAAGCAUUCAGAAAUGGAAACAACCUUUUCCCUACAUCCAGAGGAGUGGAAUCCGACCCCGCUGCUGAUGCCUGGUGAUAGAGGGUGCAUCAGAGAGGGGGAGGAAAUGGAAGAACCAGAGGAGAGAAGAGGUAGCC